rnacentral:rRNA from 1 species
GACGAACGCUGGCGGCGUGCUUAACACAUGCCAGUCGAACGGAAAGGCCCCUUUGGGGGUCCUCGAGUGGCGCACGGGUGAGUAACACGUGAGUAACCUGCCCUUGACUUCGGGAUAACUUCAGGAAACUGGGGCUAAUACCGGAUAGGAAUCCUUGCUGCAUGGUGGGGUUUGGAAAGCUUCGGCGGUUUUGGAUGGACUCGCGGCUUAUCAGCUUGUUGGUGGGGUAGUGGCUUACCAAGGCUUUGACGGGUAGCCGGCCUGAGAGGGCGACCGGCCACAUUGGGACUGAGAUACGGCCCAGACUCCUACGGGAGGCAGCAGUGGGGAAUAUUGCACAAUGGGCGGAAGCCUGAUGCAGCAACGCCGCGUGCGGGAUGACGGCCUUCGGGUUGUAAACCGCUUUCAGCAGGGGCGAAGCUUGUGGUGACGGUACCUGCAGAAGAAGCACCGGCUAACUACGUG